CUGGAGUGGAAAAAGAGGAGGAGAUGAUCAAAGAGAAAGCCCAAUCAGACAGGAAAGGAACGGAUGAGAUAAGAUCAGGGUGCUGCCUUAGCCCAGGGAUACAGGGGCCAGGAAGAAGAUUAAGCCCAGAAAAUCGGGGCGGGAACUUGAGCCCAAGCACGGCAAAUGGGAUGGUUCUGGAGCUCAAAACCCCUCGUGUUUGCAAAGACGUCACAGGGGGCCGCAGGCUGGGCAGCCGCCCAGUGCAGCUACCAGCAAUCUGAGGCCUCCAUCCUGGGUUUCUGUUUCCUCACCUGUCUGGUGUGUGGCCUCGGGGGUUCCUUCAAGCUUUAAGUGAUACAAAGAGAGUGGCGAUGAGGAGAUGCCAAGACCCUUGAGCCUUGAGUCAAUUCUGGAGUCAUCAUUUCAUCAUCCCGUACACAGUGACAGUCUUUGGGACCCUCAGAACCAGACAGGAUGCUCUGAGACCAAUGUUGCCAUUGAACCAGCUGGCCCAGCCAGCCAGGGAGGGCCCUCCUCAGUCCUGAAACCCCUUCAAGGGAAUGAGACUGGGGGUGUGGGGGUGUGGGUGUGUCCCUGCAUAGGUGCAUGAAGGAGAUGGGUCAGUAGAGGAAACAGCUCCAUAAUCUUCAAUAGCGUGGCUCUACCGGGUGAUCUAAUCAUUCCCUAUUGAUAGGCAUGGAAAGUGGUUACUAGGUUAAAAAAAAAAAAAAAAAAACAACCUAAGACGAUGCUAUGAUACACAGUCGGGUACCUGCCUCCUUGGAUGAAUUACUUCUUUAGAUGCCGUAUUCGUUUUCUAUAGCUGCGGUGACAAAUUACCACAAGCUCAAUGGCUUAGAUGACACAGAUUUAUUCUCUUAGGGUCCCAGACCUCAGAAGUCAAAUCAGUUUUGCUGGGUUAAAAUAAAGGUGUGGGCACUCCUGUGUUCUCUCUGGAGGCUCCAGGGGAGAAUCCCUUCCUUGCCUCUCUCAGCGUCUAGAGGUCGCCCACAUCCUUUGGCCAGUGGCCCCUGCCUCCAACCACAAAGGACAUCAUUUCAACCUCAGCAUCGGUCACCUCAUCUCCUCUGACUCUGACUCUCCUGCCCCGCUCUUCAGAGGACUUGGGAUGACAUUGGGCCCCCCUGGGUAAUCCAGGACCACCUCUCCACCUCAAGAGUCUUAAUCCCAUUUGCAGAAUCCCUUUUACUAGGUCAAGUCACACAGAGGUUCCUGGCAUGAAUAUGGGGACAUAUUUGGGAGACCGUCCUGGAGCCUACCACAGCAGCCUAGAAAUAAGAGACCUUCGUCAAAGGGUAUAUGUAUUUUGAGGUAAAUCGCCAUCUCCAAAUUGUUUUAAUGAACGCUGAUAUCAACACUGGGGCUACUGGCUUUUUGAAGGCAACUGGGCAGCACUGAUCAAGGUUUAAAUUCCUCACCAUCUCCUGUCUUCUCCAUUGCACAGGGGUAUGGUGCUGGCUGACGAUUUGUUUCUUAUUAAUCUUUCACUGAAGUAUCUGAGUCUUAAAGUUUCCCAGGACACAGCUGGGGGAACAGGAUUGGGAUGUUUGGCCAGAGGGUUGGGGUGGGAGGUUGGCCUCCAGGAGGAACAGGCAGGAGGGGGUGCCUAGAUGGAAGUGCAGGUGAGGAGGGCUGUGGUUCUAGCGAUGGGUGUGAUCACCAGAAGCGAGGCCCCCUGGGAGUAUGUGGUGGGGGUGGGGCGGACAAUGGGGAGCUGCUGCCAGCUGCAGCCCAGGAGGGCCACGUCAGCAAAGCUGGGUCAUUAGGGACAAGUAGUUGAAGAACAGUCAUCUGAAAGCCUGAGGCCGCCUUUCCAAACUGAGGCCCCCACCGGGGUCGGGGUCCUAGAUCCCCAGCUCCCCAAGAUCUCAUCCUGUCCCUCCACCCUUCCCUCAGGAGCCUGUCGGGGCAGCCACUGAGGGGGGUGGGCAGGAGAAGUUGGAGUGACCUCUAUAGCCAUAAAAUAGGGUCUUGUCUUCACAGCUGAAAUCCUUUCAGAUUCAAAGCAGACCUGACAUCCUCAGAGAUGCUCAGAGGCCUGAUGUCUUUCUGUGGUUUAUUCCAUAUAGAACCAGAGUACAGACACAAGAACAGAGGCUGCGGGAACAGCUGGGACCAUCCUGGCACAGGCCUCUAACCCCAACCCUAGGCUCCCCACUAGGGCAGCCACACAGUCCCAGACCUGUCAGGGUAGUGCUGGGGCCUGAAUGAGCUCAUGUCUGUGCCCUUUGGGCCCAGCCCCACAAAGUGACCCAGGGAGGUGACUUGCAGAGUGGGGGUGUGAAGGGGACCCUAGCCCUGGCUUUAAGCAGGAUACUCCAGUUCAGAGACAAGGCUCUGACAAAUGCUGGGAGACCAGUUGUACGUGUGUAGGGCCUGCAUUUCCCACUGACAGAUGCUCUCUGGCUAAACAGUCCUACGGAACAGAGACCUGGGAAUUGGCUGAGUCACAAACCUCACUCUCUGGCCCCUCCAGAGAUCAACUCUGCUAUGUCCUUGGAGAAGAGGCACAUGGCAAAGCCAGGCAUUGCCCUCUGGGCUGAAGGUACAAUUAAAUAAGCAAGGGCCCUUGGAGGCUCCUGCCACCACCUCAGGAGAGCCACCUCACCCACUGGGAAGACAGGUGUGGGGGACGUGCAUGGAGCAGGCAUAGGCUUGUUCUAAAUCCUUUCCUGAACCCCAAUGUCAACAACAGAAUACCAGGGCAUCCCUCUUGGGCCUACAGGGGACUUGAAGGUUGCUGAACCCACUCCCCAGUCUCUGGGCCUGACCUCACAGACACUGGUGAGAAGAUCUGGACGUGAGAACCCACCCUCUUUGCUUCUGGAAAGUCCUCCUGAGCAGCUACAUGCAAGGCCUGUGUGUUGCUAUGAACGUGCCCCCUCCUUUUACUGUGUCUGAUGCUUCUCCCAAGGUAGAAAGGGCCAAAAAAGAA
rnacentral:lncRNA from 1 species